UGGUCAUUGAACCUUGAAACACCAGUUCUCAUAUGAUCACUGAAAGUUAAGCAAUGUUGAUCCCUGUUACUACCUAGAUGGGUGAUUGCUUGGGAAUACCAGAUGCUACAUG